GGCGACCCGGGAAUAAGCAGACCCGGAGGAGCGAAGCGGCCGUCUUGUAGGUCAAAUCGAAACCACCACACAAGCACUUGACAAAGCAGCAUCACAAGCUGCCAGAAUGCAACAUCACAAGCACUUUAGUUACAGUCAAGACCGUCGAAAAAAGGGAACGUCAGACCAUAGUAAGGUUGCUGCGAUGGUGAUUCGAUAAAACAUCACAUACUUUUCUGUACACAGGGCUCCUCUUUUCGUCCUUGAGGGAGUUCCUCUCCUCGACCAAAUCCAUCAUCUCCUCUUUCAAAAUAUUGUUAUCAGCGGGAUGGAGUGCUCCUUCCCCGAGGCGGGCAUCUGGAACGGCGGUUCAUAACAUGUCCUCGAUGUCCUGCACUCCACAUUGGUCAUCAUUGAGGGUGUCUGUUGGGGAAACAUCAAUGUCAAAGCAGAGAAAUGGAGUCACACCAAGGGACAUGGCAACAUUUAAGAAAUGGAAAUACAUAACAAGUACUCCCUCUGUAAAGAUAUAUAAGAGCGUUUACAUCACCGCUUUAGUGAUCUAGACGCACUUAUAUUUUUUUACAGAGGGAGUAUAUGUGAUAGUGUUACCAGUGCAAGAGAGAGAAAUUGCAAUCUUACACAAUUUGAAUAUCAUGUUUAUCUUACUAUUACAAGUGUGUGUUUAUUAUAAACGACAUGGCAGGCAGCUCAGGUCUGCACCUGUCAUCAUUUUGCCCAUACAUAUACAUACAUACAACAAGAGAGGCAAAACUUAGCAGAUUGGAAGGCUUGUUGUACAGGGGCAUGAUCACAAACGAAAUAGUAGAGUAGUAUUUCAGGAUGGUGCUAUAUAUUCUGUAGCAAACAAAGUUGUAUGCUCCAUACAAAGUGAUGUAAUAAUACCAGACAUAAUUGCCAUAGAAAGGCUAGCAUGUGGGAAUCGCUACAAGAGCUCAUGUUGUCUUGUCAAAUCUCAUACUAGGCACACAAACACAAAUUGUUGCACUAGUGAAAAACAAGCAGCAUCUAUGGGUACGUAAUUGAUGGCCGGGACACACACGGCAUAAGAGAUACCUUAAGGAGCUCCAUGGUGUGGACGCCCAUGAAAGAGGCGGCACACAACAGUCUGCGCCUGAGGAGGCCAACAUUGUCAAGUUAGUAUGCUUGGUUAGCAUCAUCAACCUGAAGAUAAAUCUGCUGCAGAGUUUUCAGUUUCCUGAAGAAGGAAGGAACUAAAAGUUUCAGAUUUCUGUAGUUUUGUCUGUCUGUGAAGAUAAGUUGCAGCAAGCAAGCAAGCAAGCAAAAUAUGGAGUAUCAAGUUUCCUAGUGCUCCCUCAAAUUGUAAGAUUUGCUAUGCAUGCUCGUGUCAGUAUUUUAUUUUAGUUUUUGAAGGAAUUUGCUCAUGUGAAGAUUUCGGUAUGAGAUACAUGGAGCUUUUUCAGAGUUGUUUUUUUCUAACUGUAAUACAUGUGAAGACUUGGGUAUGAAAAAUGGAGCUUUUUCCAUAGUGAAAAGUGAUCUUUUUGGUGUCGUUUUGUUGUUGCUCUAAUCGGCUUGUAUCUCAUACUGAAAGACUUUGGUAAUUGAUGGUCGGUACAUGAGAGAGAGCAGAAUGAGUUACGUUGACGGUCUCCAUGGCGUCCGCAGCGGCAGCGGGGUCUCGGAACAGCAACAGUACCAAGUUAGUAUCAACCUGAAGAAUAAUCUGCAGAGUUGUCAAUUUUUCUGAAGAAGGAAGUAAAAGUAUGAGAUUUUUGCAGUUCUGUCUAGCUCCGUCCGAAUACAAGUUGCAGCAGCAAGCAAACACGGAUAGAUGGGCGUUGACAAACUCACCGUGAUUAUUUUGCAGCCAGUGCCGAACAACGUCGUGCCUCGUUGCUCGAAGGGAGACACACACGAUGAGCCCCUUGUCCUCUGCAUUACCCGGGGAUGAUGCAGUACCGAAUCAAUCAUGCUGCUGCACAAGGACAUGAUAAAUAACAAAUCUUGAGUCAAAUGGAAAAUCUUGAGCUCCAAUCAUAAUGAGAGAAAAGAGGAAAUCAUGCCUCUUCAUCAGCGGAGAGAGCCUGAGGACAACGACGCCAUCCAGUGCAUCUUCAUCAGCGAAGAAAGCACGAGGACGACGACGCCAUCCUAUGCAACUUCAAGCCCAAACCGCGUCAACUUCUGCAGCACCGCUUGGCAAGAGAAAAUGACCGGUGUCGUGCGCGAUGGAGAUUUUCCAUCAUGUCCGGUAGGUUUGACGGACGAACGGAGUAUCUUCCUGAGGAAUGCAAUCUAGGUGGACAUAAAAAGAUCAGUCUAGUGCAGAGGCAAAGAGGAAUGUCAGAUUUCUCAACACUAAGCCACACAACAAUUCUCUUGUGUCAAAGGGAAUUUACAGGAAUUAACAAGACAACAUCUUCCCCUAAAAACAAUGCAUACUUAUUCACCAGCCUAGCAAUGCAAAGUGCUCGUUCCAGUUCCACACAAUGAAAGUUAAGUGUUGGACCUGAUCAAGACAAGACAAAAUUGCCAUAGUUAGGCUCACUUGUGUGACCAGCAGAAGAAUUUUUGCUACAAGAUCUCAUCUUGGCUUGUCAAAUAUCAUACUAGAAAAAUUGUUGCACACUAGUGAAAACAAGCAACAUCUCUGGGUAAUUGACGACCGGGACACGCAGGACAUGAGAUAGAGAGAGAGAACAAAGAGAGAUACCUUGACGGUCGGCAGCGGGGUCGGAGCAGCUGCUGCGUCCAUGGAAGAGGCGGCACACAGUGGUCUAUGCUUGAGGACACCAACAUUAUCAAGUUAGUAUGUGUCGUUAGUAUCAACUUGAAGAUAAAUCUGCUGCAGAAUUUUCAGUUUUCUGAAGAAACAAGGAACUAAAAGUUUCAGGUUUUUGCAGUUUAGUCGUCUCUGAACAUAAAUUGCAGCAAGCAAGCAAGCAAAUAUGGAUGGGCAUGAGAGGGAGUAAGGGCCACUGAUGAUGAAUGCUGAACUAGUAUGAGCAGAGCCUGCACUCACCACCCACAUAGAAGGCAAUGACAGAAUCCCUUCCCCUGGCACGAGCUUCGGAUCAGUGGUGGCACUUGUUCUUGCCUAAUGAGGAUCCUCCAUGGACAAGGGAAGGUGUCAUCAGACCACCAUAGUCCAAUUAGUGCUAUACGGCCUGCACAAGGAUCACACGAGACAUGCAUGGUGAAUGCUACAGAAAAACAAGACAAGCGUUUGCUCCAUCGUGGGAGCAGCGGUGACCCGGGAAUAAGCAGACCCGGAGGAGCGAAGCGGCGGUCUUCUAGGUCAAAUCGAAACCACCACACAAGCACUUGACAAAGCAGCAUCACAAGCUGCCAGAAUGCAACAUCACAAGCACUUGAGUAUAGUCAAGACCAUCGACAAAAGGGAACGUCGGUCCAUAGUAAGGUUGCUGCGAUGGUGAUUCGAUAAAACAUCACAUACUUUUCUGUACACAGGGCUCCUCUUUUCGUCCUUGAGGGAGUUCCUCUCCUCCACCAAAUCCGUCAUCUCCUCUUUCAAAACAUUGUUAUCAGCGGGAUGGAGUGCUCCUUCCCCGAGGCGGGCGUCUGGAACGGCGGUUCAUAUCAUGUCCUCGAUGUCCUGCACUCCACCUUGGUCAUCAUU
rnacentral:lncRNA from 1 species